CGCACGGGUGAGUAACACGUAUCCAACCUGCCUUCUACUCUUGGCCAGCCUUCUGAAAGGAAGAUUAAUCCAGGAUGGCAUCAUGAGUUCACAUGUCCGCAUGAUUAAAGGUAUUUCCGGUAGACGAUGGGGAUGCGUUCCAUUAGAUAGUAGGCGGGGUAACGGCCCACCUAGUCAACGAUGGAUAGGGGUUCUGAGAGGAAGGUCCCCCACAUUGGAACUGAGACACGGUCCAA
rnacentral:rRNA from 1 species